GCUAUAAUCCGUCUUGUCGCUCCAGUUUACUGGGGAGGAAAGUCCGGGCAUCGCAGAACACCAUACCUUUUGAAAGAGAGGGCGGUUUUAAAACCGACAGCUAGUGUUACAGAAAAUAACCGCUUUAAUAAACUUGUUUUAUUGGAGUAAGGGUGAAAAGGUGGGGUAAGAGCUCACCAGUGCAGUAAGUAAUUCCUGCAGCUGAAUAAACCUUAUGGGAUGAAAGCUUAAAUAGGCUGGAGUGUUCUUAGGAACUAAGAGUUGUUCGCUCGAUUUCAGUGGGUAAGGCGUUUAGAUAAAUGACAAGACUAGACAGAACCUGGCUUACAGGAUUAUUAGCGUUU
rnacentral:RNase_P_RNA from 1 species